rnacentral:rRNA from 1 species
CGCAUCUGUGCAUGCAGCAUAUCAAUAAGCGGAGGAAAAGUACGUACCUACGCUUAGGAUGUUGACAGCAGUAGACUGUCGAUCUCAUCUAUACAUGACUCUGUGCAUAUCAAUAAGCGGAGGAAAAGAAACUAACAAGGAUUCCCCUAGUAACGGCGAGUGAAGCGGGAAGAGCUCAAAUUUGAAAUCUUAAAGGGUUUCCCUUUACGAAUUGUAGUUUAAAGAAGUGUUUUCUGUUGAGGUUUUGGUAAAAGUUCUUUGGAAUAGGACAUCAUAGAGGGUGAGAAUCCCGUAUAUUGACCUUGGACUUGUCAGCUUUGUGAUACACUUUCAAAGAGUCGGAUUGUUUGGGAAUGCAGUCCAAAAUGGGAUGGUAAAUUUCUAUCUAAGGCUAAAUAUUGGCGAGAGACCGAUAGCGAACAAGUACCGUGAGGGAAAGAUGAAAAGAACUUUGAAAAGAGAGUUAAACUAGUACGUGAAAUUGUCAAAAGGGAAGCGUUUGACACCAGUGUUGUUUUUCUGAAAAUCAAUUAAAAUGACUCGAUUUAUGCUAUUGUUGAGACCUUAAUCAGCUAACUGUUAAUUUUUGAGUCUUUUCUUUAAUGCACUUUUCAGUUAACAAGUCAACAUCAGUUUCUUUUGCUGUAAAAAGGCAUUGAGGAAGGUGGCUUGAUAUUCGUCUGAAAGUGUUUAUAGCCUCUUGGCCUAUGCAAUCGGAGAGAUUGAGGUCUGCAGCGUAGACUCCUUCGGGGCUAGAUACAUUUGUGCUAAGUUAUAGCAUUUUAUAGACAACUUGUCGACUAUAAUUAGUCUUGUAGCUUACUCGCUUAUGUUAUUUUACCUACGCUUAGGAUGUUGACAGCAGUAUAGACUGU